GCCUUUGUGGAUCAAUAUAGAUCGCUUUCUGCCUAUGCGGAUACUGCCAUCGGGAUAUAUGGAAGAGAUAUGGGUUCGAAUCCCGUCAGAGGCG